UACGGGGGGGGCAAGCGUUGUUCGGAAUUACUGGGCGUAAAGGGCUCGUAGGCGGCCAACUAAGUCAGACGUGAAAUCCCUCGGCUUAACCGGGGAACUGCGUCUGAUACUGGAUGGCUUGAGUGUGGGAGAGGGAUGCGGAAUUCCAGGUGUAGCGGUGAAAUGCGUAGAUAUCUGGAGGAACACCGGGGGCGAAGGCGGCAUCCGGGACCACGACUGACGCUGAGUGAGCGAAAGCCAGGGGAGCAAACGGG
rnacentral:rRNA from 1 species